GGGUAAUCAUCUUCUUCUCUGGUGCUACUUCUCUUAUCGACAUUGUUCUAUAGUUUUUUAGUCCAUUGGGGGUUAAUUGGAUAAUGGUUGUUUAGGUAAGAGGGAAGAUUGGAGCAUGAAGGGGCAUUCAUGGGGAUAAGCAUUAAAAUAAGAUAUUAGCCUUAUCCCUCUGGUUACCUUAUAAGUUAUUUGGAAGGAAAGAAGAGAAGGUUUUUUGAGGGC
rnacentral:lncRNA from 1 species